GGGCAUUUGAACCUAUGAUUUGAACACAUGAGCUGCACUAGUCCAGUAUCAGUAGGCCAAUGGACUAACAUGAACAUCAUUCAGCUGGUGCAGGGGGAGAGAGUCACGUCACUUGGCUGAAGUAACCAUACAAGAAAAAGGAAGAUGACGGCAUUGUCAUCAUCAUUAUCAUCAUCACCAUCAUCCCACAAGCAUUUGCAUGGCAAAAGCCAUUUGAUGCAGGCCAGCUUGAGAAGAGAGAGACAAUCAUGAUGUUUGGAAGUGGGACACAUAUUUUCACAAUAAAGUACAUUUAACCAGA